GACGAACGCUGGCGGCGUGCUUAACACAUGCAAGUCGAACGGAAAGGCCCUGCUUUUGUGGGGUGCUCGAGUGGCGAACGGGUGAGUAACACGUGAGUAACCUGCCCUUGACUUUGGGAUAACUUCAGGAAACUGGGGCUAAUACCGGAUAGGAGCUCCUGCUGCAUUGUGGUGGUUGGAAAGUUUCGGCGGUUGGGGAUGGACUCGCGGCUUAUCAGCUUGUUGGUGGGGUAGUGGCUUACCAAGGCUUUGACGGGUAGCCGGCCUGAGAGGGUGACCGGCCACAUUGGGACUGAGAUACGGCCCAGACUCCUACGGGAGGCAGCAGUGGGGAAUAUUGCACAAUGGGCGGAAGCCUGAUGCAGCAACGCCGCGUGCGGGAUGACGGCCUUCGGGUUGUAAACCGCUUUCGCCUGUGACGAAGCGUGAGUGACGGUAAUGGGUAAAGAAGCACCGGCUAACUACGUG
rnacentral:rRNA from 1 species